rnacentral:rRNA from 1 species
AUUGAACGCUGGCGGCAGGCCUAACACAUGCAAGUCGAACGAGUGGCGGACGGGUAAGUAAUGUAUGGGAAUCUGCCCGAUGGAGGGGGAUAACUACUGGAAACGGUUGCUACUACCGCAUACUAUCAGAUGCGCCCAGAUGUGAUUAGUUUGUUGGUGGGGUAACGGCUCACCAAGGCGACGAUCCCUAGCUGGUCUGAGAGGAUGACCAGCCACACUGGAACUGAGACACGGUCCAGACUCCUACGGGAGGCAGCAGUGGGGAAUAUUGCACAAUGGGCGCAAGCCUGAUGCAGCCAUGCCGCGUGUAUGAAGAAGGCCUUCGGGUUGUAAAGUACUUUCAGCGGGGAGGCGUUACCCGCAGAAGAAGCACCGGCUAACUCCGUGCCAGCCGCCGCGGUAAUAC